GAUGAAGAACGUAGCGAAAUGCGAUAAGUAAUGUGAAUUGCAGAAUUCAGUGAAUCAUCGAAUCUUUGAACGCACCUUGCGCCCUUUGGACAUUCCGAAGGGCAUGCCUGUUUGAGUAUCAUGAACACCUCAACUCUCACGGCUUGUCCGUGAUGAGCUUGGACUUUGGGGGUCUUGCCGGACUGUGGUCGGCUCCUCUCAAAUGGAUCAGCUUGCCAGUGUUUGGUGGCAUCACAGGUGUGAUAACUAUCUGCGCUUGUGGUUUUCCAUCAGAUAACCUUCAGUGAUAUGGAGGUUCGCUGGAGCUCACAAAUGUCUCUCCUUAGUGAGGACAGCUCUUUGAACGUUUGAUCUCAAAUCAGGUAGGACUACCCGCUGAACUUAAGCAUAUCAAUAAGCGGAGGA
rnacentral:misc_RNA from 1 species